rnacentral:rRNA from 1 species
AUCCUGGCUCAGAACGAACGCUGGCGGCAGGCCUAACACAUGCAAGUCGAACGAAGUAGCAAUACUUAGUGGCAGACGGGUGAGUAACAUGUAGGUAUCUGCCCUUUGGCCUGGAAUAACACGAGGAAACUUGUGCUAAUACCGGAUAAGUCUUUACGGAGAAAGCUUUAUGCACCAUUGGAUGAGCCUGCACUUGAUUAGUUUGUUGGUGGGGUAAUGGCCUACCAAGACUGUGAUCAAUAGCUGAUUUGAGAGGAUGAUCAGCCACAUUGGGACUGAGACACGGCCCAAACUCCUACGGGAGGCAGCAGUGGGGAAUCUUGCACAAUGGAGGAAACUCUGAUGCAGCGAUGCCGCGUGAGUGAAGAAGGCCCUUGGGUUGUAAAGCUCUUUCGUCGGGGAAGAAAAUGACUGUACCCGAAUAAGAAGGUCCGGCUAACUUCGUGCCAGCAGCCGCGGUAAUACGAAGGGACCUAGCGUAGUUCGGAAUUACUGGGCUUAAAGAGUUCGUAGGUGGUUGAAAAAGUUGGUGGUGAAAUCCCAGAGCUUAACUCUGGAACUGCCAUCAAAACUUUUUAGCUAGAGUGUGAUAGAGGUAAGUGGAAUUUCUAGUGUAGAGGUGAAAUUCGUAGAUAUUAGAAAGAAUACCAAUUGCGAAGGCAGCUUUCUGGAUCAUUACUGACACUGAGGAACGAAAGCAUGGGUAGCGAAGAGGAUUAGAUACCCUCGUAGUCCAUGCCGUAAACGAUGUGUGUUAGACGUUGGAAAUUUAUUUUCAGUGUCGCAGGGAAACCGAUAAACACACCGCCUGGGGAGUACGACCGCAAGGUUAAAACUCAAAUGAAUUGACGGGGACCCGCACAAGCAGUGGAGCAUGUGGUUUAAUUCGAAGAUACGCGCAGAACCUUACCAACACUUGACAUGUUCGUCGCGACUCUAAGAGAUUAGAGUUUUCGGUUCGGCCGGACGAAACACAGGUGCUGCAUGGCUGUCGUCAGCUCGUGUCGUGAGAUGUUGGGUUAAGUCCCGCAACGAGCGCAACCCCUACUUUUAGUUGCCACCAUUUAGUUGGGCACUUUAAAAGAACUGCCAGUGAUAAGCUGGAGGAAGGUGGGGAUGACGUCAAGUCCUCAUGGCCCUUACGUGUUGGGCUACACACGUGCUACAAUGGUAUCUACAACAGGAAGCAAGACUGCGAAGUUAAGCAAAUCCCUAAAAGAUACCUCAGUUCGGAUUGCACUCUGCAACUCGAGUGCAUGAAGCUGGAAUUACUAGUAAUCGUGGAUCAGCGUGCCACGGUGAAUGCGUUCCCGGGUCUUGUACACACCGCCCGUCACACCAUGGGAGUUGGUUCUACCUUAAGGCAAGGUUUCAAACCCUUGACCACGGUAUAGUCAGCGACUGGGGUGAAGUCGUAACAAGGUAGCCGUAGGGGAACCUGCGGCUG